rnacentral:misc_RNA from 1 species
AAGUCGUAACAAGGUUUCCGUAGGUGAACCUGCGGAAGGAUCAUUAACACGUUUCUACGUUUAAUUCUCCAACACCCCCCUCUGGUAACAUGUGAUCUCGCAUAGCUAUGUAUCUAGUUAUGUUUUCUUGAUCCACCUUUUUUUAACCCCUUUCUUUGACUCACCCUACCAACCCCAAGUGGCCUGAUACACACCUGGUCUGGAAGAAGAAAUUCCUCUCGACCGAACCAUAUGGAUUCAUCCAAAUGAGUUUUAUUCGUACAACUCUUAGCAAUGGAUAUCUUGGUUCUC